rnacentral:rRNA from 1 species
AUGAACGCUGGCGGCGUGCCUAAUACAUGCAAGUCGAGCGAACGGACGAGAAGCUUGCUUCUCUGAUGUUAGCGGCGGACGGGUGAGUAACACGUGGAUAACCUACCUAUAAGACUGGGAUAACUUCGGGAAACCGGAGCUAAUACCGGAUAAUAUUUUGAACCGCAUGGUUCAAAAGUGAAAGACGGUCUUGCUGUCACUUAUAGAUGGAUCCGCGCUGCAUUAGCUAGUUGGUAAGGUAACGGCUUACCAAGGCAACGAUGCAUAGCCGACCUGAGAGGGUGAUCGGCCACACUGGAACUGAGACACGGUCCAGACUCCUACGGGAGGCAGCAGUAGGGAAUCUUCCGCAAUGGGCGAAAGCCUGACGGAGCAACGCCGCGUGAGUGAUGAAGGUCUUCGGAUCGUAAAACUCUGUUAUUAGGGAAGAACAUAUGUGUAAGUAAUUGUGCACAUCUUGACGGUACCUAAUCAGAAAGCCACGGCUAACUACGUG